AGUGAACGCUGGCGGUAGGCCUAACACAUGCAAGUCGAACGGCAGCACAGUAAGAGCUUGCUCUUACGGGUGGCGAGUGGCGGACGGGGGAGGAAUACAUCGGAAUCUACUUUUUCGUGGGGGAUAACGUAGGGAAACUUACGCUAAUACCGCAUACGACCUACGGGUGAAAGCAGGGGGUCUUCGGACCUUUCGCGAUUGAAUGAGCCGAUGUCGGAUUAGCUAGUUGGCGGGGUAAAGGCCCACCAAGGCGACGAUCCGUAGCUGGUCUGAGAGGAUGAUCAGCCACACUGGAACUGAGACACGGUCCAGACUCCUACGGGAGGCAGCAGUGGGGAAUAUUGGACAAUGGGCGCAAGCCUGAUCCAGCCAUACCGCGUGGGUGAAGAAGGCCUUCGGGUUGUAAAGCCCUUUUGUUGGGAAAGAAAAGCAGCAGGUUAAUACCCCGCUGUUCUGACGGUACCCAAAGAAUAAGCACCGGCUAACUUCGUG
rnacentral:rRNA from 1 species